AUGCAUGCACUAGCCUUUGAUCACCGCAUUCUAUUUCUCAAACAGCUUGAAGAGGUCAGAGAAAGAUUCUCUAGUGGAGUUCAGGCCUCUUUCAGGACCUUCUGCAUCUCAGCUUUGCCGAGUUUUCUCACUGCCUGGUGCGUGAGUCGCUCGAACCCCGCCAUGAUCCUCCCCACCUCCCCUCCUCCACCUGAGGGGCCAGUUGGGGUUCCAAGGAGGUCAAGUCCCAGCCCCCAGACUGCCGGCGGGCUUUGUAAGGAAGACGCCUCUGGGUCUCGCGAGAGGUGGGUUUCGGGGCCAGCGGGGCCAUCUCUGCUGGCUGCCCUUCAGGAGUGGUUGAGCUGGAGGUGUAAGGACCGUUUCCUCAGGUUAAUUCUUAAACGAGGGAGUCACAAACUGCUCCAGAAAGUCCAGGUUGGCCGGUACCGGGCCCUCGGCUGGGUCUUGGAGGUGCUCCUGGGUCAAGCGGGGCAUAUCAGACGUGACUGUGGUGAGGGCAGGUGCAGCCCACGCACUCGGCUUCCCUGCCUGCCCGCCGCCCCCGAGAUGCAGAAUGUGGUCUUACCACAGAGUCACGUCUGUCCGCUGAGGCUGAGCCAGAGCCACUGCCUCGCAGGGGAUGAAAAACCAUCGUGCCAUGUAACUAGUACCAGAGUGUGAUCUUGGGAACCUUGCCAAGGGAUCUGAUGGCUGUCGUCUGAUGAUGCCAUGUGAAGUCUUUAAUAAGCUGACAUUUCCUGUUGAUGAGGUGCCAUGUUUGAAGUCCAAACCAAACAGUGUUUAGGCUCUUUGGAUCCCAGACUCUGUUUUUGUCUCUUUCUAUUCCUUCUCCUGACCAGUUGUCAGCUCUGCCCACCCUGUGUUUCUUCAUCUCACCUUUGUGGAGAUGCAAUACAAAGGUUAGAUGGCAGGCGCUGCCUUUCAGCAAGACUGAACCUGCUGAAAGACCCUUGAGAGCAGAACAGCCUGGACUGUGUUGCUGGCUUUGUUACGAGACCCAGAGGGGAGCAUUGGCUGGAAGUGCUUCCUGUAAGAGACAGAGGCUGUUUUCUGAGAAGGCAAAUGGAAGCCUGUCAGUUGGGUUAAAGGAGGAGGCAAAAAAACCUCUCUUCUUUCAAAGUUCUUGUGACUACCAAUUGAAACUUAUGAAUAAAGAAUCAAAAUCCUGAAGUUAAGGAAGUAAAAGUUGGGAGUAAGAAAUUAAGAAAGAGUAUUAAGAAAGAGUAUUGCUAGCUCAACUGGCCUAAACUCUCAUUUGCAGUAUCUCUUACUAUAUUACAAUCAAUGGUAAAUUGUAUCCUCAGACCUAAAAAUUCUCUGUAGAAGAAUUUUAGAGUUUUAUUUUGUUUCUGAAGAGUGUGAGUUAAUUCGCACUGGUAAGACUGCUCACCAUUAGGGCAGCAAGCGACACGUCCACAUCUGGGCAGACAUGACCUGCGCAGAGUCUGUGGCAGUCUAGUACACAUGCCUCUAGGGUCAACCUGUUGGGAUCUUAUGUGAUGUUGAAAUCACAGGAUAAUAUUUUGCUCUGUAUGUGCUAGGGGGUAGAAUGAGGUGAUAUGUGAAGUGUAGGGCAGUCCAAGGUAUCAUUCUUUCCAAGAUUUUAAUGGUAACAUACCUAUUGUGUAACAUCUUAAAUAACGUUUUAUAAUCCUAAAAUGAAAACACUAUUUAUAAGUUUUCCUCAACACUUUUCACCAAAGUACUCUUAUAAACUUAGAUGAGAUCUUUUAAUUAUCUCAUUUUUUCCCUCUUUUUUUAGUGCUUUUCCAAGUGUCAGGAAAUAUGUUUAUUUUUAUUGCAAUGAUAAGUUAGUAUUUCUCUUGAGGUUGAUCAUUUUCCAAGAACUAAUUGAAAUUGACUUUUGCCUCUGUGUGGCUACAUCAGGAAAACUUUUUGCUGAAUGUAGCAGCAUUAGCUGAACGGCUUAUGUGCUAAUAAUGCCAGACAGUUUUCUCUAAAUUUAAAUUUACAGUCAACUCUCCAUAGUUCGUUCUUUCUUUUUUUUUUCUUUUGGUAUUGGUUUUAAUGGACUAGUAAGCCAAAAUGUCCAGAAGAGUGAGAUACAACUUAGAGAUUAAACAACAACAAAAAGGAUGCAAGCAGGUAACAUAAAUUAGUAACAUAAGUUACAUGUAAAAAACACUAAAUAUUCUGUAUUGGUAUUUGUUACCAGUAGGCAGGGGAAAAUAGCAAGAGAUUCAUAUAUAAAUAAAUAUUUAAUUUUAACUUUAGAAAGGUCUGUACAUAAAAGAAAAACCCUAAUCCCCAGAGGAGAGAACUGAUAAGAACAAUACUGAAAAUGAGCCUUGGGAACAGAUAUCAUGGAAAGGCCACAGACCUAGAAGAAACUUGAGAACAUUGGCUCAGCAACAGAAUAGACCAGAAACAGAAUGAAGCCAAAGUUAGCCCCGUAGAUGAAAAUAACCAGGAUGUACUGGUAACUGAGCCUCAAAUACUGCAUGGAAAUAGGACUUGUUGCUGGAUCAUGGAUCCUGAAUCUGAUCAUCCACAAAGAUCUGAGUAAUGGGUGGCACGUGGGCACCAGGAGUGACAACUGAGCUGCAGAAUUUUUGAUCAGUGAGCUAUCAUUCAUUUUCAUAUUCUGCUAUAUGAGUGGGUAGAGAAAUGAGGCAGA
rnacentral:lncRNA from 1 species